CGAAUGCUUAGGAUCAGUUGAUCACCCAAAAAAAAAACCAAAUCAUGUCACGUGUUUUGCAUUGCAUCAUGGCAUAUUUUUUUUUGAUUGUGUUGUUUGCUUAUGUAUGCAUUGUUUGCAUUUGAUUAGUUUUCUCGGAGAGCGAACUGUGUGAUUGUGAAGAGUGCUUGAAUACCAACUGCUAUCAAGACAAGUUCACUUUGUGUAACAUCCCAAAAUUUCAAACUUUCACAUGUGCAUUGCAUCCAUGAGCAUCAUGCCACAAUUGCACAUUUAAAUUCAAAUUUGAAUCUCAAAAGGCUUUAAAAGACUUUGUUUACACCCAUUUAAGCUUUAGAUAUUCAAACCAAUAGGGUUUAUGUAUAAAAGGGGUUUAUUGCAUAUAUAAGCUAUCCCAUAAUUUUUGGAUAAUUAUUUGGAGUUGAAAAAGUAUUUUAUUUAAAAUAGAUAUAUAGCACUAAAGGCAUUUAUAGGGGAAAUGUAUUUUUAUAUAUUUUAUUUUGAGGGGAAACUACUCCCAAAAGUUGUAUCAUGAUAAAACAUGAUUCUACAAAUUUCCUGGAAUUUAUUUGGAUCAAUUUGGAGUUCAAAAUCAAAAGAUACCAAAAAAAUAAGAAAAGGGAAAAAGAAAAAAAAAGGGUGAACCGGACCGGUCCGACCGCUUGGGCCGCACCGGCCCAGAACCGGCCGCGCCCGCCCAACCGUCCGAGCCGCCCGCGUGUGCGCCCGCUUUGUGCCGCUUCGUCUCCGUUAGGAAAGCCUGUGCCGUCUCCGCAUCGGACACCGCGCCGCCGCAAUCACCGCGCCCACAGAUUCCGACCUUCCCGAAGCUCUGCGCCCGCAUUCCUAUAAAGCCUAGAGCUCCUGCUUCCUUUUCCUUCUUCUCGCCCCCGCUUGCACGCGCCCACGCCGCCCUAAUUCCUCGCUGA
rnacentral:lncRNA from 1 species